GACGAACGCUGGCGGCGUGCCUAAUACAUGCAAGUCGAACGCAGUGGGGACGGGUGAGUAACACGUGGGUAACCUACCCUCAGAGGGGAUAACACUUUGAAACAGGUGCUAAACAGAUAUAGCUGGAUGGACCCGCUGUGCAUUAGCUAGUUGGUGAGGUAACGGCUCACCAAGGCCACGAUUCAUAGCUGACCUGAGAGGGUGAUCGGCAACACUGGGACUGAGACACGGUCCAGACUCCUACGGGAGGCAGCAGUGGGGAAUCUUCGGCAAUGGACGAAAGUCUGACCGAGCAACGCCGCGUGAGUGAAGAAGGUUUUCGGAUCGUAAAGCUCUUUUGGUAGAGAAGCGGUAUCUAACCAGAAAGCAACGGCUAACUACGUGCCAGCAGCCGCGGUAAUUC
rnacentral:rRNA from 1 species